UCGAAGGAGAAACCGAGGUCUGAUUAUUUCACUGGUCGGAGUAAGUUUUUACGAUUUGCCCCUUGUUCGCCCAGUUUUUCCUCAUUGCACUCCUCGUCCAGAAGACCUCGAGGGCCGUUUGCCGUCGGCGACGGUCAACGACCGGAAAAUACUUGCAGAUCAUGAAGAAGAAAAUGCUGAAGAAGAAGACUGGCAAAGCACUACUCAUGAUUGAGACUUUGAUGGAAGUCACUAGGUAUUCAACGACCUGCAGACCCACAUUUUCACUUCGCUUCUUAUGAAGUCCUGUUGGAUCUCUGCUAAUAUGAUAAUUAAGUGUAUUUUAAGUUCGAAAUUUUUUACAUCAUUCAAAAUUUGAUAUAACUUAUUUACGAACUGAUUGUAUGAUUUCAAUCAAUGCGAUCGAUCAGUUUCAAUGAUUUUCGUUGUAAAAUUGUACGUACGAAUUGUAUGUACUUUAAUGUAUUUUAAGAAUUUGUGCUGUUUCCGUUUUUAUUGAUGACAAUUAUGCAGCGGUGAAUUUAAAAUAUAAAUCUCAGAGUUGAAACGCAUUAUAAUUAGAAUAUCAGUGUUUAAGUAUUUAUAAAUGGAAUAAAUAUUACGCAACGCUAUAGUUAAUCGACUAAGAGAAAUAUCAUACAAAUUAAAUUGAUACAUAUAGAAUUAUGAAUGUAACUUAGAAGGAAAGCGACAUUUAAGAAACAAAUACUUGUAGCUCGUAACAUAAGAUGUUUAAAGAGAAAAUAAACAUAAUUAGGAUCUAAACGAAAAAUCCUUUGUAAGAAAUGCAAUAAUUUUAAAUAAAGCUGUGCAACAAAUUAUAUAAUAACCAUACAAUAAUUCUAUAAUAAUUUUCAAUAUCAAAAUAAUCGUAUUUGAUAUUGUUUGAUUAUUAUUUCACAUAUCAAUAUUUUACAAAAUGUAUAUGAUAGUUCAUCGAUUAAGCUAUAGAUAGAUAAGAAGCGCUAUAACUUUUAAAGGAUAGGCUACAAAAUAAUAAAUCGCAAUUUUUUAGCGCAAAUAGUAACAUCAUUCAGUCUGCAUGAUAUACAAAUAUAUAAAUAAAAUAUUAAAGUACGGUUUAGUGAAUUUAAUUUAAUUACUUCUUGCUUUUUCUCAGUUGCUAUUAUAAUAAAUAUGCGAAAAAAAUAAAUGUAGUUAAAUAGAAACCUUCAGAUUUAUCGCUGAUAGAUACAUUAACUAUAGAAAAGUGAAAACAAAACGUCUAUACAAUAAAUGCAGUUAUUUACAUUUGCUACUUCGAGUAAUGUAUUACCUGAUUCUUCGGGGAAUCUUAUCCAAUGCGUACUAGGAAUUUGAAAUAUCGAUGAAAAUCUAAAGAUAAAUUACAAUACUUAUAUGAAUAAAUAAUUCAUGAAAUUUUAAUUCUUUAUUACUUCAUACUAAUUCGUUUGCCAGUCGUAAUUUAUAUUAUAUUACAGAAUCACACAAAAAAUCUGUUCUACCAAACUUAUCAAACUUUCGUUUCAUUUAUACGGUAAUUGUUUCCUUAUAUUGCUACGUAAUUGUUGUAUUUAAUGCUGCUGUAAUUUUUGAACCCGUUACUUAUUCUGUUCUUUCAUCAUGCUCGCAAUACUUACAUUUUCUAAAUUAGUUUAUGGAAAUAAUACACUGCACGUUGAAAACGAAAGCAGACUUAAAAUUUCAUGAACAGUUAACAUGGUACAUUUUUUUUUUUUUUUUAUUUUUGUACUAUCGAAACACGUUCGACGUUUCUGGACGUAUAGAUCAAAUAAAUUUUUGUUUAUUUUCAUACUAAUGUUCGAUGAGGUAAAUGAUGAGAAAGCGUGUGAUCACAACUUGAAACUACGGAUACGGAUCACGUAUUCGCAGCAGCACGGAACCUAUCACCUAGUCUCGGAGAUUUGACUUCGUUUCGGCGCGGAUUUCGUUCCGCACGCGCGCGCGUGCUCAUUCCUUCCUGACAGUCUUGGAAAAAUAGAGAAAAGAAUCGAAACCUUACCGUUAUGUUCACCCAACUCGCGCCAUAAUUACAGCAUGGACUUGCUACUUGCAAGAUGUAUACAACCAUAGCCAGCGAUAUAAUGUGCACAGUUUAGACCAUGCCACAGUAACAGCACGCUCGUUUCUUUUAGUAAUUACAUGAAAUUGAAUCGUGCCUAUCUAUCAACGUUCGACGCGUGUAAUUAUUCAUCUCUGUUUUACCUUGCGUGUGACAUUAAUUAUCGCCGUGCAAAUGUAUAUUGCAUGCUUAGUACUGAAAUAGCUAUCUAGAUGUUAAUGUCACUCCUUUAGAAACUAUAGCGUGUCGCUAAUGUCUUGAUUAUCGAACGUAUUAUAUCAUCAAUUGCAACGAAUUGUGAACUAUUAACCAAGUGUUUAUUAAUAUUUGUGUUUAUUAAUUAUUGAGUAAUAUAAAGAUGCAAUUUUUCAAAAUACCGUUUCUUCAUAGAAGAAAAUUAUCAUUUAAGAGACGUAAAAAUUUGUAACACGGUAUAAGAGUCGGUAUAAAAAUCGUACAGGAGCUGGACGAAGAAGAAGUAAUUUUCCUCGAGAAUGGCAACAGCCUUUCAAGGUCAACGCAGGGUCGAGUUAAAGAUUUCGCAGUACCGAUGAUCGAUUAUCUGAUUAUCAUAAAUACAGGUACCUCGUAGAUCGUAGAAAUUAAUAGACCAACACGCAUUAAAGGUAACGUGCAAUGCACACAGCAUGUAAAAUGAUGCUCGUUAACGCGUUGCGCUCUCCCCUUUUAACGAUGAACAUCAAUCAGGAAUAGAACCUGCGAUUAUUUCCUGGAAAUCCUGAGAUUUUAUUAAAAGCAAACCUGUUUACUAUUUUUUCAUUUAUUCGGUACUUGAUACAUGUUACAUAAAUCGGCGAUUAAGAUGACGAACGUUACGUUGUAACAAACUAAUUGAAUAUGAUUCCACGUAUAUGUUAUAAAAGUCGUUGAAUUUUUUGCGAAUAUUUUGGG